GUUUGAUCCUGGCUCAGCCUGAACGCUGGCGGCGUGGCUAAGACAUGCAAGUCGCACGGGGUAGCAAUACCCAGUGGCGAACGGGAGAGUAAUGAAUCGCUAACGUACCCCGGACUCUGGGAUAGCCGCCCGAAAGGGCGGGUAAUACCAGAUGACAUAACCGCUUCGCAUGGAGUGGUUCUCAAAGGUCCGCCGGUCUGGGAGCGGGCGAUUUCGUAUCAGCUAGUUGGUAGGGUAACGGCC
rnacentral:rRNA from 1 species